rnacentral:rRNA from 1 species
AGGGUUUGAUCAUGGCUCAGAACGAACGCUGGCGGCAUGCCUAACACAUGCAAGUCGAGCGGUAACAGGUCUUCGGAUGCUGACGAGUGGCGCACGGGUGAGUAACGCGUGGAUAUCUGCCUAUUAGUGGGGGACAACUUGUGGAAACGCAAGCUAAUACCGCAUAAUCUCUACGGAGCAAAGCAGGGGACCCUUCGGGGCCUUGUGCUGAUAGAUGAGUCCGCGUCAGAUUAGCUAGUUGGUGGGGUAAGAGCCUACCAAGGCGAUGAUCUGUAGCUGGUUUGAGAGGAUGAUCAGUCACACUGGAACUGAGACACGGUCCAGACUCCUACGGGAGGCAGCAGUGGGGAAUUUUGCACAAUGGGCGCAAGCCUGAUGCAGCGAUGCCGCGUGUGGGAAGAAGGCCUUUGGGUUGUAAACCACUUUCAAUUGGGAAGAAGAGAUGAGAGUUAAUAACUCUCUGAUUUGACGGUACCUUUAGAAGAAGCACCGGCUAAUUUCGUGCCAGCAGCCGCGGUAAUACGAAAGGUGCAAGCGUUGUUCGGAUUUACUGGGCGUAAAGAGAUCGUAGGUGGUUUGUUAAGUUGGAUGUGAAAUCCCGGGGCUCAACCUCGGAACUGCAUCCAAAACUGACAGACUUGAGUUCGGGAGGGGUAAGCGGAAUUCCGUGUGUAGCAGUGAAAUGCGUAGAUAUACGGAGGAACACCUGAGGCGAAGGCGGCUUACUGGACCGAUACUGACACUGAGGAUCGAAAGCGUGGGUAGCAAACAGGAUUAGAUACCCUGAUAGUCCACGCCCUAAACGAUGUCAACUAGCCGUUGCGGGUAUCGACCCCUGCAGUGACGCAGCUAACGCGAUAAGUUGACCGCCUGGGGAGUACGGUCGCAAGAUUAAAACUCAAAGGAAUUGACGGGGGCCCGCACAA